rnacentral:rRNA from 1 species
AACAAACGCUGGCGGCGUGCCUAACACAUGCAAGUCGUACGAGAAAGGGUCCUUCGGGCCUGAGUAAAGUGGCGCACGGGUGAGUAACGCGUGGAUAAUCUGCCCUUCAGUUGGGAAUAACUCAUCGAAAGGUGGGCUAAUACCGAAUAAUGCUGUGAGACCUCGGUUGAUCAGCCAAAGAAAGCCUCUGCUUGCAAGCCCUCGCUGACGGAUGAGUCCGCGUACCAUUGGCUAGUUGGUAGGGGAAUGGCCUACCAAGGCGACGAUGGUUAGUUGGUCUGAGAGGAUGAUCAGCCACACUGGAACUGAGACACGGUCCAGACUCCUACGGGAGGCAGCAGUGAGGAAUCUUGCGCAAUGGGGGCAACCCUGACGCAGCAACGCCGCGUGAGUGAGGAAGGUCUUCGGAUCGUAAAGCUCUGUCGGAUGGAAAGAACCGCAUAGGGGUAAACAGCCCCUGUGUCUGACGGUACCAUCAAAGGAAGCACCGGCUAACUCCGUGCCAGCCGCCGCGGUAACAC